rnacentral:rRNA from 1 species
UACGUAGGCAGCAAGCGUUGUUCGGAGUUACUGGGCGUAAAGGGUGCGUAGGCGGCUUUUUAAGUUUGGUGUGAAAUCUCCCGGCUCAACUGGGAGGGUGCGCCGAAUACUGAGAGGCUAGAGUGUGGGAGAGGAAAGUGGAAUUCCUGGUGUAGCGGUGAAAUGCGUAGAUAUCAGGAGGAACACCGGUGGUGUAAACGGCUUUCUGGACCAUUGCUGACGCUGAGACACGAAAGCGUGGGUAGCAAACAGG